rnacentral:rRNA from 1 species
UACGGAGGGUGCGAGCGUUGUCCGGAAUCACUGGGCGUAAAGGGCGCGUAGGUGGCGCGGGCAGUCAACGGUGAAAGUUCGGGGCUCAACCCUGAAUCGGCCGUCGAUACUCCCGUGCUUGAGCACUGUAGAGGCAGAUGGAAUUCCGGGUGUAGCGGUGGAAUGCGUAGAGAUCCGGAAGAACACCGGUGGCGAAGGCGGUCUGCUGGGCAGUAGCUGACACUGAGGCGCGACAGCGUGGGGAGGCAACAGG